rnacentral:rRNA from 1 species
AUGGAUGUGCUGCUGCUCGGGGCCCUCCCUAUGCUUCUCCUCGCUCGUACGGGUCCAGGGUUAGCUGCUCAGGAGCCAUGGUGUGUUCCGUGUGGCGCUGCCUUCGCGGCCGCAGCCGUUGUUGUGUCUCGUGUGUCGCGGCAGCCAAUGGGGUCGGGAAGGUCUGAGACUGGAGGUCCCUGCUCGCCAACUCACAGACGGUUGUUCUCCGACCAGUUAAAAAUGAAUUUUCUGAAGGAGAAGGAGGUGCCGAAAGGGGAUGGGAGCAACAAGAGUCUGAAUCUAAGAGUCAAAGAAGUCGAACCUGAAGAAGUGCAGGGAAGAAUUAUAGUUGCGUGUGGCUGGCUGGUUCAGGGGAAUUUCAGGGCGGGCGCGGCGGCGCGGGUGCCAGAGCAGGCUCCUAGGCACUGGCGAUCUGUCGGACGGAUAUUAGAAACGAAGGUGAGGUUGUAUCUUGUUAGGUGA